CAAGCGUUGUUCGGAUUUACUGGGCGUAAAGGGCGCGUAGGCGGCCACGACAAGUCACUUGUGAAAUCUCCGGGCUUAACUCGGAGCGGUCAAGUGAUACUGUCGGGCUAGAGUGCAGAAGGGGCAACUGGAAUUCUCGGUGUAGCGGUGAAAUGCGUAGAUAUCGGAAAGAACACCAACGGCGAAAGCACUCUGCUGGGCCGACACUGACACUGAGAGACGAAAGCUAGGGGAGCGAAUGGG
rnacentral:rRNA from 1 species